AUUGAGAAGAUUUAUGAAAGAGGAGUUUCUGAUUAUCUGGUAGUAAAAUAUGGGAAGCAUACAGGGAAUUUGAGCAAGCCAUUCUCCAUACCAUAGAUGAGGUCAGCAUUAAGAUCUACUUGAAGUUUGAACAGUCUUCUAGAGAUCCAGCCUGUGUUCAACUUCUCUAUGAACGUGCUAUUAUCG